UAUGAAGUGUGUCUUUUGUUUUGCUUUG
rnacentral:piRNA from 1 species